rnacentral:rRNA from 1 species
GAUGAACGCUAGCGGCAGGCUUAAUACAUGCAAGUCGAGGGGCAGCACGGGUAGCAAUACCUGGUGGCGACCGGCAAACGGGUGCGGAACACGUACGCAACUUUCCCAAACUGGUGAAUAGCCCUCCGAAAGGAGGAUUAAUACACCGUAACAUAAUGAAGUGGCAUCACUUUAUUAUUAUAGCUCCGGCGGUUUUGGAUGGGCGUGCGCCUGAUUAGGUAGUUGGCGGGGUAACGGCCCACCAAGCCUGCGAUCAGUAACUGGUGUGAGAGCACGACCAGUCACACGGGCACUGAGACACGGGCCCGACUCCUACGGGAGGCAGCAGUAAGGAAUAUUGGUCAAUGGACGAAAGUCUGAACCAGCCAUGCCGCGUGAAGGACGAAGGUCCUCUGGAUUGUAAACUUCUUUUAUCUGGGACGAAAAAAGGGAAUUCUUUCUCACUUGACGGUACCAGAGGAAUAAGCACCGGCUAACUCCGUGCCAGCAGCCGCGGUAAUGUCUGUACU